CUAAAAACAAAACAUUAAAGACACUCUUCAUCAUUCUCUUCCUCUCCCCCAAAGCUACUCAGUCACUAGAGACCCCUCACAACUCAGACCUCUCCUAUCCCUCUCCAACGCUUCUCUAGCAAACUCAGGAACCCCAUCUCUUAGGCACCACUGUUCUCCUGUUUUCAAUCCCUCGGCAGCCAGCAAGUGAGCGACUUCGUUCACCGUUCUAGGGCAAUAUUUGAAUAUACAGAGAGUGCAUCUCCUUCAACCUCCGUAUCCAUUAGUCCCACCUGGAUACUUUGAAUGCAUGCAAUCGCUUCUACCGCAAAGACUGAAGGCUGCGUCAAAAUUGAUUUUUACGAACGGGGGCUUCGAUGGUUGCCAACUCUCCGACUCCACACGCUGAACAGACCAUAGAGCAGAUACGAACAUUCUACACUAGUUAUUGGUGUUAUGCUCAAAGAACCAGGUAAUCCACUCCAAUAUCUCUAUACUUGACACCCUUUCUGGUCAGGACCAGCCUAAAUGAUUCCAUAUAUCUUUUGUCUCAGGGCACUCACGCAGCGCAUGGAUACUGGUUUCAACUCCACCUGCACAUCUCGGACAGAGACUAGAAUUAGUAACUAUUCUAUAAUGUAGAUUACAUAGGGUAGAAAGAUAACUUUUUGAGAUUCGCCAUAUUGUAAUUUUCAGUUAGAGGGUAAUUUUAAGCCUCACUUUUUCUUUUUUUUUUGUAAAAAUCCCCUAUUUCUGCCUUAUUGUAUACAUGUGUAACCUCUUUACUCUGCUGUAAUAGAGCUUUGUAUGCGCUUUGGACUGUGAA